AGCCUGAACGCUGGCGGCGUGGUUAAGACAUGCAAGUCGUACGGGUGUAGCAAUACACCAGUGGCGGACGGGUGAGUAAAGUAUCGCUAACGUGCCCUUUUGUCCGGGAUAGCCGAGGGAAACUUCGGGUAAUACCGGGUGAUAUCACGAACAGGCAUCUGUUUGUGCUCAAAGGUGAAAGCCGCUGAAGGAGCGGGCGAUAUCGUAUCAGCUAGUUGGCGGGGUAACGCCCACCAAGGCGACGACGCGUAGCCGGACUGAGAGGUUGGCCGGCCACAUUGGGACUGAGACACUGCCCAGACUCCUACGGGGGGCUGCAGUAACGAAUCUUCCGCAAUGCACGCAAGUGUGACGGAGCGACGCCGCGUGUGGGACGAAGCCCCCUCGGGGUGUAAACCACUGUCAGGGGUAAGAAAGUUCUGAUCUACCCCAGAGGAAGGCACGGCUAACUCUGCGCCAGCAGCCGC
rnacentral:rRNA from 1 species